rnacentral:rRNA from 1 species
GACGAACGCUGGCGGCGUGCUUAACACAUGCAAGUCGAACGGUGAUCUUGGGAGCUUGCUCUUGGGUGAUCAGUGGCGAACGGGUGAGUAACACGUGAGUAACCUGCCCCUGACUCUGGAAUAACUUCGGGAAACCGAAGCUAAUACCGGAUACGACACAGAGCUGCAUGGCUACUGUGUGGAAAGUUUUUCGGUUGGGGAUGGACUCGCGGCCUAUCAGCUUGUUGGUGAGGUAAUGGCUCACCAAGGCGACGACGGGUAGCCGGCCUGAGAGGGCGAUCGGCCACACUGGGACUGAGACACGGCCCAGACUCCUACGGGAGGCAGCAGUGGGGAAUAUUGCACAAUGGGCGAAAGCCUGAUGCAGCGACGCCGCGUGAGGGAUGAAGGCCUUCGGGUUGUAAACCUCUUUCAGUAGGGAAGAAGCGCAAGUGACGGUACCUACAGAAGAAGCACCGGCUAACUACGUGCCAGCAGCCGCCGUAAUAC